rnacentral:lncRNA from 1 species
GCGGCCGGCUGAAGCUAGGGGACGGGAAACGCUCUGUUGUCUGUUUGGAUGUGGUCACAGAUCCUGGGAAACCAUGGAAAGUGUUUUCUUCUGCGUGCUGACCUCACCGGGACGGAAUGGAGACUCCAAACAGCGGGACACGAGAGCUCUGGGGGAGGUGCUCCCCUCCCCUGGGGUGCGGCCGAGGGGGUGCCACCCACCCCGGGGGACCGCGCAGCACUGUCUGCACGCCCCUCACAAUCUGCGUUCCGCCCUCACCGAGGACACUCUCACGUGGUUUCAGUUUCUCUGCGGAAGCUGGACCCGGUCCCCAGCUCGCUCCGACGUACCCAGCGCACGGCGGGUCCCCCACGAUUAUCUGUGGCAUCAGCCCCUGCAAACCGCCUUGGCAGCUGGAGUAUCUGAGCACACAGCUGCAUCGGCAGCAGGCAUCACCCCCCUGCGUGCUGAUACUUUCAUUCAAUACCCCACGUUUAGAAAUGAAGCUCGGCGGCAGGCCUCCAGCACCUCGAAGAUCGGGGCAGGCCCGGGAGGGCCAAUGAUCACUUACUACGUAUCUGAUUAUAGAUCUAUUUCAACACGUGGGACCACCAUCUAAAUGACACGAGGAAGGAGCCGUUCACACCUGAAAUGUGUCAAGAAGCAGGAUUCACAGAAAUUACAGCAGGGAGAAG